rnacentral:rRNA from 1 species
AGGACGAACGCUGGCGGCGUGCCUAACACAUGCAAGUCGAACGAGGUCCAUCCUUCGGGAGAAGACCUAGUGGCGAACGGGUGAGUAACACGUGAGGAACCUGCCCUGAAGACCGGGAUAACCCUCCGAAAGGAGAGCUAAUACCGGAUACCCCCAUCGGAUCGCAUGAUCUGAUGAGGAAAUGGAUUCCGCUUCAGGAGGGCCUCGCGGCCUAUCAGCUAGUUGGUGGGGUAACGGCCCACCAAGGCAUCGACGGGUAGCUGGUCUGAGAGGACGAUCAGCCACACUGGGACUGAGACACGGCCCAGACUCCUACGGGAGGCAGCAGUGGGGAAUCUUGCGCAAUGGGCGAAAGCCUGACGCAGCAACGCCGCGUGGGGGAUGAAGGCUCUCGGGUUGUAAACCCCUUUCAGCAGGGACGAAUCAAGACGGUACCUGCAGAAGAAGCCCGGCUAACUACGUGCCAGCAGCCGC